GACGAACGCUGGCGGCGUGCUUAACACAUGCAAGUCGAACGGAAAGGCCCUGCUUUUGUGGAGUGCUCGAGUGGCGAACGGGUGAGUAACACGUGAGUAACCUGCCCUUGACUUUGGGAUAACUUCAGGAAACUGGGGCUAAUACCGGAUAGGAGCUCCUGCUGCAUGGUGGGGGUUGGAAAGUUUCGGCGGUUGGGGAUGGACUCGCGGCUUAUCAGCUUGUUGGUGGGGUAGUGGCUUACCAAGGCUUUGACGGGUAGCCGGCCUGAGAGGGUGACCGGCCACAUUGGGACUGAGAUACGGCCCAGACUCCUACGGGAGGCAGCAGUGAGGAAUAUUGCACAAUGGGCGGAAGCCUGAUGCAGCAACGCCGCGUGCGGGAUGACGGCCUUCGGGUUGUAAACCGCUUUCGCCUGUGACGAAGCGUGAGUGACGGUAAUGGGUAAAGAAGCACCGGCUAACUACGUG
rnacentral:rRNA from 1 species